rnacentral:rRNA from 1 species
UACGAAGGGGGCUAGCGUUGUUCGGAAUUACUGGGCGUAAAGCGCACGUAGGCGGAUACUUAAGUCAGGGGUGAAAUCCCGGGGCUCAACCCCGGAACUGCCUUUGAUACUGGGUAUCUCGAGUCCGGAAGAGGUGAGUGGAAUUCCGAGUGUAGAGGUGAAAUUCGUAGAUAUUCGCAAGAACACCAGUGGCGAAGGCGGCUCACUGGCCCGAUACUGACGCCGAGGCACGAAAGCGUGGGGAGCAAACAGG